rfam:Otolemur garnettii contig175465, whole genome shotgun sequence.
ACAAAGGCUCUUUUUAGAGCCACUAACAUAGUCAUAAAAGGUGAC